GUAGAUUAUAAUUUGCAAAGAUUUUUGGUAUAGUGAUAUCUCACUUCGUGAGAAUUCUGAGUCGGAGAGGGGCGUUCCCGACUGCCUUAGGAUUGAGACAGACUCCUGUUAAUCUGAUAAAGGCUAUUCAAUUUGUCAUCUCAUCUGCUAUUGUCUGGAUACUUGGUGAGUCGAGAAAAUUAGUACAAAAAUGUCGGGAUUUUAGAAGACUUGCUAUACAAGAAUCGACUAAUGCCAAACGCAAUGGAGGCCGACUUCCGUAAUUAUCUGCUGGUGUAAUUAGAGUUUCAACAAGGAUAAAGCUGGAUCCGAGAUGCGUUACGCCAGUACGGGACUUUUACAAAUGGUUGUUGGUUCUUUCAUUACUGAAUGCAUAUAAGAAUCUACUGCAAGCUGCUCUGAAGGAGGAACCUGACCAGAUAAGUUACUUCAGGAAUCUGUUAUUCCUGUAAACCCAAGCUUGUUUGCUCUUCCCGAACAGAUCAGAAAGUUUCUUCAGAAAAUACAGCCCGGAAGAGCCCAAGGAAUUGAAUUUAACAUGUGUGUGUAAAGUGUCUUCAGUUCUAGUGCGUGUAAAGUGUCUUCAGUUCUAGUGCGUGUAAAGUGUCUUCAGUUCUAGUGCGUGUAAAGUGUCUUCAGUUCUAGUGCGUGUAAAGUGUCUUCAGUUCUAGUGCGUGUAAAGUGUCUUCAGUUCUAGUGCGUGUAAAGUGUCUUCAGUUCUAGUGCGUGUAAAGUGUCUUCAGUUCUAGUGCGUGUAAAGUGUCUUCAGUUCUAGUGCGUGUAAAGUGUCUUCAGUUCUAGUGCGUGUAAAGUGUCUUCAGUUCUAGUGCGUGUAAAGUGUUCUAAAUGGCGCCAUAUAAAACGAGAUAUCUAUAAAUGUAAGUGUGUAAUCUCAGUUUUAUGUAUUAAAAUUGGUUGUAUGCAAUUUCAAAUUAUCCUUUAUACUUGUAUAAUCUGCAAUUUUUCUAUAAUUCUAGUUUAUAGAAGACAGACUGUAAAUA